GGAUUAGAUACCCUGGUAGUCCACGCCGUAAACGAUGAUCACUAGGUGUUGGAUCUGCAUUGCGGAUUCAGUGUCGAAGCUAACGCGAUAAGUGGUCCGCCUGGGGAGUACGGUCGCAAGAUUAAAACUCAAAGAAAUUGACGGGGGUCCGCACAAGCGGUGGAACAUGUGGUUUAAUUCGUCACUACGCGAGAAACCUUACCUGGAUUUGACAUAUAAUUGCCAUCUGUAGAGAUAUAGAGUUCUCGGUUUACCGAGACAGUUAUACAGGUGCUGCAUGGCUGUCGUCAGCUCGUGCCG
rnacentral:rRNA from 1 species